AUUGAACGCUGGCGGCAGGCCUAACACAUGCAAGUCGAGCGGAUGAAGGGUGCUUGCUCCUGGAUUCAGCGGCGGACGGGUGAGUAAUGCCUAGGAAUCUGCCUGGUAGUGGGGGAUAACGUCCGGACACGGGCGCUAAUACCGCAUUCGCCCUGAGGGAGAAAGUGGGGGAUCUUCGGACCUCACGCUAUCAGAUGAGCCUAGGUCGGAUUAGCUAGUUGGUGGGUAAAGGCCUACCAAGGCGACGAUCCGUAACUGGUCUGAGAGGAUGAUCAGUCACACUGGAACUGAGACACGGUCCAGACUCCUACGGGAGGCAGCAGUGGGGAAUAUUGGACAAUGGGCGAAAGCCUGAUCCAGCCAUGCCGCGUGUGUGAAGAAGGUCUUCGGAUUGUAAAGCACUUUAAGUUGGGAGGAAGGGCAGUAGGUUAAUACCUUGCUGUUUUGACGGUACCAACAGAAUAAGCACCGGCUAACUUCGUG
rnacentral:rRNA from 1 species